rnacentral:rRNA from 1 species
UACGUAGGGGGCAAGCGUUAUCCGGAUUUACUGGGUGUAAAGGGAGCGUAGACGGCAGUGCAAGUCUGAUGUGAAAGCCCGGGGCUCAACCCCGGGACUGCAUCGGAAACUGUGCAGCUAGAGUGUCGGAGAGGUAAGUGGAAUUCCUAGUGUAGCGGUGAAAUGCGUAGAUAUUAGGAGGAACACCAGUGGCGAAGGCGGCUUACUGGACGAUAACUGACGUUGAGGCUCGAAAGCGUGGGGAGCAAACAGG